rnacentral:sRNA from 1 species
UCAGAGCGGGAUGAGGAAAAGU